rnacentral:rRNA from 1 species
AUGCCUCGGCCGGAUCUCUGUCCCGGGUGCGUCGCAGCCCCGGACCAAGGCGCCCGCCGGAGGACCAACCAAAACUCUUAUUGUAUACCCCCUCGCGGGUUUUUUUUUUAUAAUCUGAGCCUUCUCGGCGCCUCUCGUAGGCGUUUCGAAAAUGAAUCAAAACUUUCAACAACGGAUCUCUUGGUUCUGGCAUCGAUGAAGAACGCAGCGAAAUGCGAUAAGUAAUGUGAAUUGCAGAAUUCAGUGAAUCAUCGAAUCUUUGAACGCACAUUGCGCCCGCCAGUAUUCUGGCGGGCAUGCCUGUCCGAGCGUCAUUUCAACCCUCGAACCCCUCCGGGGGGUCGGCGUUGGGGAUCGGCCCUCCCUUAGCGGGUGGCCGUCUCCGAAAUACAGUGGCGGUCUCGCCGCACCUCUCCUGCGCAGUAUUUUGCACACUCGCAUCGGGAGCGCGGGGCGUCCACAGCCGUUAAACACCCAACUUCUGAAAUGUUAACCUC